rnacentral:misc_RNA from 1 species
GUGAAAUUUCACAAACGGCUGUAUCACCUGUGCUGGUGUGCCCUGGGUUGCAAAAUGGUCAAGUUCGGGUUGAUCAAUUCACAUCAAAAAGGACUAAGUUUAUCUUUGCACAUGAUUCUAGGAUUGCAUCUUUUGCUCUUAGUCAUGAGGGGAAUGUGCUGGCAACAGCAAGUACCAAGGGUACUCUUAUCCGGAUUUUCAGCACGCAGGAUGGUACAUUGUUACAGGAGGUAAGGAGAGGUGCUGAUAGAGCAGAAAUUCACAGUGUUUCAUUCGAUCCAGCUGCUCAGUGGCUAGCAGUCUCUAGUGACAAAGGCACAGUUCAUGUUUUUAGGCUCAAGGUCAAUCUAGGGAAUCAGGAUAAGACAAGAACUACUCCUAAUUUCCGUGGUACUUUGGCUGCAGCGAGUUCACCACUAUCCUUCAUCAAAG